AUUGAACGCUGGCGGCAUGCCUAACACAUGCAAGUCGAGCGGAUGUUGUUUGCUUGCUCCUGCUUUCACCGGCCGACGGGUGGUUAAUUCCUAGGAAUCUGCCUGAUAGUUGGGGAUAACGUCCGGAAACGGGCGCUAAUACCUCAUACGUCCUGAUGAAGCCAGUUGAGGAUCUUCGGACCUCACUCUCUCAGUUGAGCCUAGGUCGGAUUAGCUAGUUGGUGGGGUAAAGGCCUACCAAGGCGACGAUCCGUAACUGGUCUGAGAGGAUGAUCAGUCACACUGGAACUGAGACACGGUCCAGACUCCUACGGGAGGCAGCAGUGGGGAAUAUUGGACAAUGGGCGAAAGCCUGAUCCAGCAAUGCCGCGUGUGUGAAGAAGGUCUUCGGAUUGUAAAGCACUUUAAGUAGGGAGGAAGGGCAGUAAGUGAAUAUCUUGAUGUUUUGACGGUACCAAAAGAAUAAGCACCGGCUAACUUCGUG
rnacentral:rRNA from 1 species